CUUUUUUUCGAUGAGGUAUGAACAUAGAAUAUAACAUGCACAUUUUUGUCAUUUUCGGCAUUACUCGAUAUAUUAAUUAGAUUUGACUUUUUAUCGAAGUCGAUUAUGUGUUAUUUUUGGGUGGACUCUUCCUCCUUUCAUCUCCAGGUCGAAGUUCUUGAUAUCAAUCCUAGCGAAGCAGAGAUGCGUGCAGGAUAUUUUGAUGGGCUACUUGGCAGGGGUCCUGAUUUCAUCCAAUUGGCAGUAGCCGCCGCAUCCCAGAGGGUGUAAAUGCCCCACCACGUAAUCAUAAAUCAAAAGUCAAACCUAGUACAUCGAAUAGCGAUUCCAUCCCUUGCUCCAAACGCACCAUCCACGAGAAAUCAAAUGAGCAUCGAGUUAACAAAUUACUUCUUUCAACGUGUUUAACACAAAUAAUAUAUCAUAACAUAAUUUUAACAUAUUACUUUUAUUUGAAAGUUUCAUUUUCAACUGCUGGAUUUAUAUAUUUUAACACAUCAUUACUAGUAUUUUUUUUUUUUUACCUACAACUUAACAUCCUUAAGACUCUGGAGGAACUGCACUACCAUGUUUUGAGCAUUCACGAUAAACAUAAUCAAAUAAUGGUCGGACAGAAUGAAAUGAAGUUGGAAUUUCAACGUCUCAAGAGUUAUGUGUAGUCCAAGUUUGAACGUCUGGCCGAGGAGAUGAGGCAGAAAAAUACACUUUGUGAUCAUGAUUAUGGUAACAGACCCACUGACAUAACUGCAAUGACGCCAAAUGAGCCGCAGAGUGAGGUCAUGUAUUUAUGUUCCAUGAACUAUACAUAUAUUUUGUUCAAUACGUUUUUACUAUGAUAUUUAUGAGGCUUUAUAUUUUUGUUAUCUUGCAGAAUAGGAAAACUUGUCAGUUUGCAAGUGCACAUGACAAUGACAUGAAUGUUGUCAACAAACCAGUUGAAAUGCUAGCGAUCACGACGAUGCCAACCUGAAGGGCAGUUCUGAACACUUCCAAGAUGUUGAUGUGGUCCCGGAAUCAGUUGCGGGUGCAACAGUAAAUCAUGGUGACAUAUAUUUCACAGAAGAGGAUCUUCAGCAAGUGGAUCACACUGCACAGUGUCCAGUCAAUGAAAAGCAAUAGUACAUUACAGAUACAGGUUCCUGUCAAUACGUCUACAGGUUUUGCUCUCCUAUCGGGUGAUAUUUCCAAGAACCUUUUUCGUGAUGAUUGUACGCCUUCUAACACCAUUCCCCAAAAAUCGAAACCUGUGGUAUGUUGCAUCCCAACCAAUAUAAAUGCACCAAUGGUCCAACGUCGUACUGCUCAAUCCAUUGUUGUGGUUGAGUCUGGUGAUGGCAAUCAAGGUAGUGAGUGGACCCCUAUUCAAAAUAAUAAUGAAGUUUUGAUUCAUUCGAUGUAUAAUACGGUUGGACAGAUCAACACACCAUGUGACAUUGUGUAGGAAAAUACGAGUUUAAGAUGUCCAUUGAAUAUACGUUUUCGCUCAUUCUUUUUUCAUUGUAUUAUCAAUGUGCGUAUGUUCAUUUCAGGGACAAAUAUCAACACAAAUUAUCGUAUGUAUACAUUUAUAGAAGGUUUGGCACCCCCUGACAUCGACGAUAUUGAAGCCUUUGACAGUUGGUUUCGCAACGGAUAUAAGCCUGGGCAUAUCAAAUUUAAAUUCUCACCAUCCAAAGACAUAAUAUACCCACCUUUCCAGUUUGGUCCCUAUGUUGUUGAUAGAAAGACCUGGUGGCA